GGCGGCGUGCCUAACACAUGCAAGUCGAGCGGGGACAUACGACGGAACCAAAGUUUCGGAUGGAGGUGAAGAUGUAUGUUCUAGCGGCGGACGGGUGAGUAACGCGUGAGCAACCUGUCCCUUACAGGGGGAUAACACAGCGAAAGUUGUACUAAUACCGCAUGAGACCACGGGGAGACAUCUUUCUGAGGUCAAAGGAGCAAUCCGGUAAGGGGUGGGCUCGCGUCCGAUUAGAUAGUUGGUGAGGUAACGGCCCACCAAGUCGACGAUCGGUAGCCGACCUGAGAGGGUGAUCGGCCACAUUGGGACUGAGACACGGCCCAAACUCCUACGGGAGGCAGCAGUGGGGAAUAUUGGGCAAAAUGGGGGGAACCCUGACCCAGCAACGCCGCGUGAGGGAAGAAGGUUUUCGGAUCGUAAACCUCUGUCCUUGGUGAAGAGUAAGAGACGGUAGCCAAGGAGGAAGCCCCGGCUAACUACGUGCCAGCCGCGGC
rnacentral:rRNA from 1 species